UUGGAAGAUCUUGCGUCUGUGUCAUAUUCUCCUGGUGCCUGAGGAAUGAACCCUUCACACUGGAAGUGUUUUGUCUGUGUGAUGCUCAGAUGUGAAUUUGUGUCAACUAUCCUUCAAAGCCUGUUCCAAGUAGAUCUGUAACAGCUGCCAGAAGGGCUUGAGAUGUCUGGAAGAUCUUUCAUCCUUCAAGCUUCCUCUCCUGAAGAUCUCUAGAACUUCAACUUCACUGCCAAAGCAAAUUUAUCUCCACUCAUCAGACGCUGAUCCUCUUCUUCUUGUCAUUGACGAUUAAACCUACAGCAUGACACAAAUGUUACCAUGUUGCAGUUCUUUAAACUAUACAGCCCUAUAUAAGUAAACUCAUU